ACUUAAGAUGUGUUCCUUGCGGUAAAUAUGGACGAAAAGUUAUAUGUAAGUUUUUAGGUGAGCUUUGAAUUAGUUUUAUCUAGCUCAUAAAGACACUUACAAACAAUU